AACGAACGCUGGCGGCGUGCCUAACACAUGCCAGUCGAACGAGAAAGGGGCUUCGGCUCCGAGUAAAGUGGCGCACGGGUGAGUAACACGUGGGUAACCUGCCUCUAAGAUUGGGAUAACUCGUCGAAAGAUGAGCUAAUACCGAAUAAGACCACAGUUCCCGCGGGAACAGGGGUCAAAGGUAGCCUCUGCUUGCAAGCUAUCACUUAGAGAUGGGCCUGCGCACCAUUAGCUAGUUGGUAGGGUAACGGCCUACCAAGGCAAAGAUGGUUAGCUGGUCUGAGAGGAUGAUCAGCCACACUGGAACUGAGACACGGUCCAGACUCCUACGGGAGGCAGCAGUGGGGAAUAUUGCGCAAUGGGCGAAAGCUUGACGCAGCAACGCCGCGUGAGUGAUGAAGGCCUUCGGGUCGUAAAGCUCUGUCGGGAGGAACGAAUGCUCCUGAGGUUAACAGUCUCGGGAGGUGACGGUACCUUCAAAGGAAGCACCGGCUAACUCUGUG
rnacentral:rRNA from 1 species